UAUAAAUAAUGAUUAUUAUAAAUGUUAUUUUUUAAGCACGUAAUUAAAUAAAUUAACCUUAUUUUAAUUAUUUUGGUGGCUGAAUGCAGUUCAAGUCUCAGAUAAGCCGAAAGGGAUCGCUGUAGGCGCUGCUAAAGAGUGUGUGCACACACUCUGUCACGUGCUUCUUACGCUCUGAAACCCCUCCAGAGAGCAAAGAGUGAUGACGGCGUUACACAGUGCGAGCACACUCAGACUUUAGACAGGAGAGUCACAGAGAGGAGAGGAGAAAGGGGGAGAGAGAAGGAUCGACGCACACAAAGCGGCCUCUACUAAAGAGCCUGAUCAGAUGACACUGAUAUUAUGAAACCUGUUAAGAGAGUCAACUAAGUAUUUCAACUUUCUCUGCAAAGAGUUUUUAAAAAGGUCUAUUAUUUUACUGAUAUGUGAAAUACAUUAUUAGUGAAACAGGAACUAAUCGAUGCAUCCUUCUUUCGACUUGUCAUAUGCAAUCAUUUUUUAUAUCAUUGCGUUUAUACAGGCUGUUUGUCAUAAGGGCUGGAGAGUGUGUCUUGUUUCCUGGUGUGUUUUGUUUCAGAAACGCCUCCCCUGAAGUAGGAGCCAUAAUUUGAAGAUCACGCAGCUUUUAAUAGGAGCAGAGUUAUAGCAACUGAUACCGCCUCUGAAUUCCGCGCAGAUAAAGGAGGAGCUGCAGCAACAUCUUCCAGCAGCACACCGUCAGUGGAGCAGAUGAUGAUUGAUUCGCCUGAGAAGGAUCAGAGGAAGCACUCAUUGAUUUCCCUUUUUUUGUUGUUUUAUUAAAAAUAUUUAUUUACCACUGUA